AUGCAAGUCUUGGAGCCGGAAAAUAUUACUUUUCGUCUGUUGGUAGGAAGAUACUUUCUGUGGGGAAGCACGGGCGCGGGGGGGGGGGGUGGGGGGGGGCUUGGUGUCCUUUCUGGACAACACGGACGUCACCGCGGGGAGCCGGAGCUGCAGUGCUCAGGCCCCGGGUUUCCAUGGCGACGCCCCCCAGCACAGCAGGUGCAGCCUCUGCCCCUCCCGACCCCUUCUCCCCACCGUGGCAGCAUAGACGCUUUCCUUCCCAUUCCCGCCGCCGCCCCCUCCUCUGGCCAGAGGGGCCCCUGCCUUGUAGACAGAGGGAGCAGUGGGCGGAUUAAAGCCCCUAAGGAUGUCCGAGUCCUGCUCCAGCCGUGCCUCCAGGGCACUGGGCUUCGGGGUGUUGGAGACUGUCCCCCCGCCCCCACACCCCUGGGCCUUCACAGUGGAAGAGGAGGCGGAGGGUCAGCGUCAGAGCCACGGGGACACGGGACACGGGCCCGGAGCCUGGACGCCGGCAGCUCCUGGAAGCUGGGAAAGGGGGAAAUGGAGUGUCCCCUGGGAUCCUGCUGCAGCGGCCUUGCCUGGCGUCUCCAGACCGGCCCACCUGCCGGCUGCCCUGGGGACCCUGUCCCGAGCCUCCUUCCAGAACAAGGACGCACACGAUCCCCCCAGAACCCCUCACCCCGGGAGCCAACCAGCGCUUCCUCCGGGAAGCCCGCGCGGCAGGGAUGGGGACCUUGCGUCCUGGGACUCAGGUGGCCCCUGGUCUGUGCUGGCCGCGGGGCGACACGAGGGCGCUGGAGCCUCCCCGCACUGCACCCCUGUGCCCCUGCGCCCGCCCCCGGACCUGGGGUGCGCCCCGCCCUGCUGGAGUGGAGGUCAAGCAGGCCUCGGGCGACCGGGGCACACCCAGGUCUCCCCCACCCCCGCGGCGCCAGCCCUCCAUGCCCCUCCCACAGAAGGCCCCGCCCCCGCCCCCGCCCCCGGGCCGAGCCACCAGGCCGCAGCCGGUCACCUCUGCACUUGUUUAUUGUCAUGAACAGUUGCCGAUCGCUCGCGCUUUCACUCCGCAAUUCUCAUUUGGUAAAAUAA
rnacentral:lncRNA from 12 species